UACGUAGGGCGCAAGCGUUGUCCGGAAUUAUUGGGCGUAAAGAGCUCGUAGGCGGUCUGUUACGUCCGCUGUGAAAACCCAGGGCUUAACCCUGGGCUUGCAGUGGAUACGGGUAGACUAGAGGCAGGUAGGGGAGAAUGGAAUUCCCGGUGUAGCGGUGAAAUGCGCAGAUAUCGGGAGGAACACCGGUGGCGAAGGCGGUUCUCUGGGCCUGGCCUGACGCUGAGGAGCGAAAGCGUGGGGAGCAAACAGG
rnacentral:rRNA from 1 species